rnacentral:rRNA from 1 species
CGGACGGGUGAGUAACGCGUGGGAACGUGCCCUUCUCUACGGAAUAGUCCCGGGAAACUGGGUUUAAUACCGUAUACGCCCUUCGGGGGAAAGAUUUAUCGGAGAAGGAUCGGCCCGCGUUAGAUUAGGUAGUUGGUGGGGUAAUGGCCUACCAAGCCUACGAUCUAUAGCUGGUUUGAGAGGAUGAUCAGCCACACUGGGACUGAGACACGGCCCAGACUCCUACGGGAGGCAGCAGUGGGGAAUCUUAGACAAUGGGGGCAACCCUGAUCUAGCCAUGCCGCGUGAGUGAUGAAGGCCUUAGGGUCGUAAAGCUCUUUCGCUGGGGAAGAUAAUGACUGUACCCAGUAAAGAAACCCCGGCUAACUCCGUGCCAGCAGCCGCGGUAAUACGGAGGGGGUUAGCGUUGUUCGGAAUUACUGGGCGUAAAGCGCGCGUAGGCGGAUUGGAAAGUUGGGGGUGAAAUCCCGGGGCUCAACCUCGGAACUGCCUCCAAAACUCCCAGUCUUGAGUUCGAGAGAGGUGAGUGGAACUCCGAGUGUAGAGGUGAAAUUCGUAGAUAUUCGGAAGAACACCAGUGGCGAAGGCGGCUCACUGGCU